rnacentral:rRNA from 1 species
GACAGAGGGGGCAAGCGUUGCUCGGAAUCACUAGGCGUAAAGGGCGCGUAGGCGGGAUGGCAAGUCAGUCGUGAAAUCUCUCGGCUCAACCGAGAAACGUCGGCUGAUACUGCCGUUCUUGAGGGAUGCAGAGGAGACUGGAAUUCCCGGUGUAGCGGUGAAAUGCGUAGAUAUCUGGAGGAACACCGGUGGCGAAGGCGGCUUCCUGGACCGACACUGACGCUGAGGCGCGAAAGCUAGGGGAGCAAACGGG